rfam:Schistosoma haematobium scaffold1483_31, whole genome shotgun sequence.
AGCUUUCUGAAUCGGUGAAGAGAUUUCGUCAGUCGUCAAGUUAUUAGUACUGAUGAGACUUCCAAGAUAAGUGAAGCG